rnacentral:rRNA from 1 species
CCAGAGAAUUUAGCAGAGAUGCUUUAGUGCCUUCGGGAACUCUGAGACAGGUGCUGCAUGGCUGUCGUCAGCUCGUGUUGUGAAAUGUUGGGUUAAGUCCCGNAACGAGCGCAACCCUUAUCCUUUGUUGCCAGCACGUAAUGGUGGGAACUCAAAGGAGACUGCCGGUGAUAAACCGGAGGAAGGUGGGGAUGACGUCAAGUCAUCAUGGCCCUUACGAGUAGGGCUACACACGUGCUACAAUGGCGCAUACAAAGAGAAGCGACCUCGCGAGAGCAAGCGGACCUCAUAAAGUGCGUCGUAGUCCGGAUUGGAGUCUGCAACUCGACUCCAUGAAGUCGGAAUCGCUAGUAAUCGUAAAUCAGAAUGUUACGGUGAAUACGUUCCCGGGCCUUGUACACACCGCCCGUCACACCAUGGGAGUGGGUUGCAAAAGAAGUAGAUAGCUUAACCUUCGGGAGGGCGUUUACCACUUUGUGAUUCAUGACUGGGGUGAAGUCGUAACAAGGUAGGCGUAGUGCU